CCUCCCCUGCUGUGCCCAAACUGACGAUGGCCAAGUGUCGGCGGAACGUGGAGAACUUUCUGGAGGCGUGUCGCAGGAUCGGGGUUCCACAGACCCAGCUGUGCCUGCCCCUCCACAUCCUGGAGGAGAGAGGGCUCCCCCUGGUGGCCGGGACGGUACGUGCGCUCCUGGAGCUGGCCCCGCCCAAAUACACAACCUCCCCUGCCACCACCACUAACCCUCUGGCCAUGUAGGGCAGCAGAGUUCCACACUCACUCAUGGAUGGACAGAUACAGGACCCACCCUCUCGCUCUCCGAAUGUACGUUAUAUGGCUUUCCCUCUCGACCACCCCCCACUUCCCCUCAACCCUAGACCCCCCCCCCCCCUCAACCAUACAGGGUCACCCAGCCUUCCCAGACAGGUCUUCCCCAAUGAAGAGAGAAGAGGGAGCACGAGUACGUCAAAGAAAGGGAUGACUGUCUCUUCCUCUUGUGUCCUCACACAGACUGCUUACGACUUGCAGCCUCUAAAGACUGACGGACGAACAGAUGGACAACCGAGAUUGUCCCAGACAAACAGUCAGUUGGACGGCGAGUAAGAGUGGUUUUUUAUUUUCUAUUAUUAGUCAUUUGACUUCUCUCUCCAUCCUCCUCUUAUCUAUGUUCAGUAGGGGUUGUUUUAUUUUCUAUUAUUAUUUCAUCUUAUUUUUCAUAUUCCUUUUACUUUCACAUGUUAGAUCCUUGCAUGUCAGAGGGGUUGGGUGGGUGUAUGGGGAAGGGUUAGGAGACUAGGAAGUUGUCAGUUGCAUAAGUAACCUUUUAAGGUCAUGUGCUACAAAGAGCAACAAUAACGGUGGUGGUCUGUCAUCAUGGGAACAUUGAUGCUGCCAACACUUAAAAUGGCUGUUAUUAAAUGAACCCGUCUUUU